ACGGGUGAGUAAUACAUCGGAACGUGUCCUGGAGUGGGGGAUAGCCCGGCGAAAGCCGGAUUAAUACCGCAUACGCUCUGUGGAGGAAAGCGGGGGAUCUUCGGACCUCGCGCUCAAGGGGCGGCCGAUGGCAGAUUAGCUAGUUGGUGGGGUAAAGGCCUACCAAGGCGACGAUCUGUAGCUGGUCUGAGAGGACGACCAGCCACACUGGGACUGAGACACGGCCCAGACUCCUACGGGAGGCAGCAGUGGGGAAUUUUGGACAAUGGGGGCAACCCUGAUCCAGCAAUGCCGCGUGUGUGAAGAAGGCCUUCGGGUUGUAAAGCACUUUUGUCCGGAAAGAAAACCGCUUCUCUAAUACAGGGGCGGGAUGACGGUACCGGAAGAAUAAGCACCGGCUAACUACGUGCCAGCAGCCGCGGUAAUACGUAGGGUGCAAGCGUUAAUCGGAAUUACUGGGCGUAAAGCGUGCGCAGGCGGUUCGCUAAGACCGAUGUGAAAUCCCCGGGCUUAACCUGGGAACUGCAUUGGUGACUGGCGGGCUAGAGUAUGGCAGAGGGGGGUAGAAUUCCACGUGUAGCAGUG
rnacentral:rRNA from 1 species